UACAGAGGUGGCUAGCGUUGUUCGGAAUUACUGGGCGUAAAGGGCGCGUAGGCGGUCUUGUAAGUCUUGUGUGAAAUCCCUCGGCUUAACUGAGGAACUGCACGAGAUACUGCGAGACUUGAGUUCGGGAGAGGAAAGCGGAAUUCCGGGUGUAGCGGUGAAAUGCGUAGAUAUCCGGAGGAACACCGGUGGCGAAGGCGGCUUUCUGGACCGACACUGACGCGGAGGCGCGAAAGCUAGGGGAGCAAACGGG
rnacentral:rRNA from 1 species